rnacentral:rRNA from 1 species
UACGUAGGGUCCGAGCGUUGUCCGGAAUUAUUGGGCGUAAAGGGCUCGUAGGCGGUCUGUUGCGUCGGGAGUGAAAACUUACAGCUUAACUGUGAGCGUGCUUCCGAUACGGGCAGACUUGAGGUAUUCAGGGGAGAACGGAAUUCCUGGUGUAGCGGUGAAAUGCGCAGAGUAUCAGGAGGAACACCGGUGGCGAAGGCGGUUCUCUGGGAAGUAUCCUGACGCUGAGGAGCGAAAGUGUGGGGAGCGAACAGG